UUAAAACAUAUUUUAGAGCAAAAUAGGUCAUCCGUCCGUCCGUAUCAGCGUUUUACCUUAACCUGUUUUUUAAUAGAUAGAUAGGUUUAUUAAAAAUUACAUCGCAGCCAUCAAACACAUGGCUGAAUUACGUAAUUUACACAUUUAAUUAUUCUAUGUAAUAACAUAUCAAUAAGAAUUAUGGUAUAUAAAACAUUUCAAAACUAC